CCUACGGGGGGCAGCAGUGAGGAAUAUUGGUCAAUGGGCGCGAGCCUGAACCAGCCAAGUCGCGUGAGGGAAGACGGUCCUAUGGAUUGUAAACUUCUUUUGUCAAGGGACAAAAUCAGGCUCGAGAGCCUGACCGAGGGUACUUGAAGAAAAAGCAUCGGCUAACUCCGUGCCAGCAGCCGCGGUAAUACGGAGGAUGCGAGCGUUAACCGGAUUUCUUGGGUUUAAAGGGUGCGUAGGCGGACUGUUAAGUCAGCGGUAAAGGCCCGGGGCUCAACCCCGGCGAGCCGUUGAAACUGGCUGUCUUGAGAUGUCGAGAGGUAUGCGGAAUGCGCAGUGUAGCGGUGAAAUGCUUAGAUAUUGCGCAGAACUCCGAUUGCGAAGGCAGCAUACCGGCGGCGAUCUGACGCUGAGGCACGAAAGCGUGGGUAUCGAACAGGAUUAGAUACCCUGGUAGUC
rnacentral:rRNA from 1 species